CUACGGGAGGCACCAGUGGGGAAUAUUGCACAAUGGGCGCAAGCCUGAUGCAGCCAUGCCGCGUGUAUGAAGAAGGCCUUCGGGUUGUAAAGUACUUUCAGCGGGGAGGAAGGGAGUAAAGUUAAUACCUUUGCUCAUUGACGUUACCCGCAGAAGAAGCACCGGCUAACUCCGUGCCAGCAGCCGCGGUAAUACGGAGGGUGCAAGCGUUAAUCGGAAUUACUGGGCGUAAAGCGCACGCAGGCGGUUUGUUAAGUCAGAUGUGAAAUCCCCGGGCUCAACUGGGAACUGCAUCUGAUACUGGCAAGCUUGAUUCUCGAAGAGGGGGGUAGAAUUCCAGGUGUAGCGGUGAAAUGCGUAGAGAUCUGGAGGAAUACCGGUGGCGAAGGCGGCCCCCUGGACGAAGACUGACGCUCAGGUGCGAAAGCGUGGGGAGCAAACAGGAUUAGAUACCCGAGUAGUC
rnacentral:rRNA from 1 species